rnacentral:rRNA from 1 species
ACGCACGCUGGCGGCCUGCCUCACCCCUGCAAGUCGAACGAGACCUUCGGGUCUAGUGGCGCACGGGUGCGUAACGCGUGGGAACCUGCCCUUAGGUUCGGAAUAACUCCCCGCAAGGGGUGCUAAUACCGGAUAAUGUCUUCGGACCAAAGAUUUAUCGCCUUUGGAUGGGCCCGCGUUGGAUUAGCUAGUUGGUAGGGUAAAAGCCUACCAAGGCGACGAUCCAUAGCUGGUCUGAGAGGAUGAUCAGCCACACUGGGACUGAGACACGGCCCAGACUCCGACGGGAGGCAGCAGUGGGGAAUAUUGGACAAUGGGCGAAAGCCUGAUCCAGCAAUGCCGCGUGAGUGAUGAAGGCCUUAGGGUUGUAAAGCUCUUUUACCCGGGAUGAUAAUGACAGUACCGGGAGAAUAAGCUCCGGCUAACUCCGUG